GUAGGUGGCAAGCGUUAUCCGGAAUUAUUGGGCGUAAAGCGCGCGCAGGCGGUUUCUUAAGUCUGAUGUGAAAGCCCACGGCUCAACCGUGGAGGGUCAUUGGAAACUGGGGAACUUGAGUGCAGAAGAGAAAAGCGGAAUUCCACGUGUAGCGGUGAAAUGCGCAGAGAUGUGGAGGAACACCAGUGGCGAAGGCGGCUUUUUGGUUCUGUAACUGACGCUGAGGCGCGAAAGCGUGGGGAGCAAACAGGGAUUAGAUACCCUGGUAGUCCACGCCGUAAACGAUGAGUGCUAAGUGUUAGAGGGUUUCCGCCCCUUUAGUGCUGCAGCUAACGCAUUAAGCACUCCGCCUGGGAGUACGGUCGCAAGACUG
rnacentral:rRNA from 1 species